rnacentral:lncRNA from 1 species
GCCAGGAGGAUGAAAUUUUCGUAUGAACAGAUGUGCUACAUCCUCCCAUCUAGGAUUCGCCCCCAGCUGCAGCGUCUGGUACCGAAUGGAAGCUACGGGGCGAGCUAUGAUAGAUGUGCCGAAUGGAAGCGUCACUUUUCACGUAGCUGAUGCGCAUGGGUUCUCUACCUCUGUUCGUGUUGGGCGGUCUGUCACCCCCGCUGCGUUUAAUGUUCAUUGAGGCUAUGAGGUAUCGUCGAGCUCUAGACGUUAAAUUAAGCACUUGUUGGGAGGUAACCCAACCGUUUUCUUUGUUUUUGUUUUUGUUUUUUUUCUUUCUUUCAUUUAGUUGCUUUUUGUUUCUUUGUUUUCGUUGUUCUCUUUGUUUUGGGGUUUUAGUGCAGUUGAGCUUGGAAGAUGCGGGAAUUCGCGCAUUGUCCAUAUCACCACCAUGGAGCAUGUGUUUCUGUGAGUAGUGACACACAUAUCAUCAUCCCUCCAAACUUAUUUUCGAACUUAUGUUCUGUAAUAAGAUUGGGAGAGGGGGGGUGAGAGUAGAUAUGUGUAUCACUUUUAUUAUUUUUGUUGGUUUUUUUUGUUUUAUCUUGCUUGGUUGGUGGUGUGUGAUUUUUUUGAGUUGAUUAUUGCUCCAUUUGAUUUUUGGUGAGAUGCCAAUGAUGAAUUCUGUGAAAAAAAUUGGAAUUUGAUUUUCUUUGAUGAAUAACUGGAACUAAUUUGCAUAAUUCUAGAAUGAUUUUAACCUUGACUUUUGGACGUUGAAUAAACCUGUGAGAUUUUGAGCCAUAACUGUUUAUCAUACACAGUUUAUUAUUUGUUAUGAGUUUUGUCAUGCAUGAGGUGAUCUUCU